CCUACGGGUGGCAGCAGUGAGGAAUAUUGGUCAAUGGACGAGAGUCUGAACCAGCCAAGCAGCGUGAAGGAUGACGGCCCUAUGGGUUGUAAACUUCUUUUAUAUGGGAAUAAAACAGGGUAUGCAUACCAUCUUGUAUGUACCAUAUGAAUAAGGAUCGGCUAACUCCGUGCCAGCAGCCGCGGUAAUACGGAGGAUCCGAGCGUUAUCCGGAUUUAUUGGGUGUAAAGGGAGCGUAGGUGGAUUGGUAAGUCAGUUGUGAAAGUUUGCGGCUCAACCGUAAAAUUGCAUUUGAAACUGGCAGUCUUGAGUACAGUAGAGGUGGGCGGAAUUCGUGGUGUAGCGGUGAAAUGCUUAGAUAUCACGAAGAACACCGAUUGCGAAGGCAGCUCACUGGACUGCAACUGACACUGAGGCUCGAAAGUGUGGGGAUCAAACAGGAUUAGAUACCCUAGUAGUC
rnacentral:rRNA from 1 species